GUGCAGCAGGCGAGAAACCUCCGCAAUACACGAAGUGUGACGGGGUUACCCAAGUGUCCAAAUUUGGACUGUGGUAGGUGAGUAAUGUCCCCUACUAGAAAGGAGAGGGCAAGGCUGGUGCCAGCCGCCGCGGUAAAACCAGCUCUUCAAGUGGUCGGGAUAAUUAUUGGGCUUAAAGUGUCCGUAGCCGGUUUAGUAAGUUCCUGGUAAAAUCGGGUAGCUUAACUAUCUGUAUGCUAGGAAUACUGCUAUACUAGAGGGCGGGAGAGGUCUGAGGUACUACAGGGGUAGGGGU
rnacentral:rRNA from 1 species